GGACCUCUAUGUAGUAGAGAGUUGCUUGGGAGAUCUAUGGUUGCAUUUAGCAUUCUUUAUGAGACUUGGUUUCAUGCUUCUAUAGUGUAAAUGAGUUCGGAUUCAUGCAUUUAAACUUGAGUUUACUUGUGACAUGAAAGAUGACAAGAUUGCCAUUUAGAAGGUAUGUGAACUAGAGAGCUAAUGUCAUCAAGCGGCAUUGAGCUCGGGACAUGUGAGAACCUAGUGGAUAGGGCCAUUGAGGGAUUUGGAAUACAUGUUGAACAUCAAAUUGCCUAAGUGUCAUCAAGGGGCACUAGGCGUAGCAAAUGUUGAAACUUCACAUUGUGACUUAAACUAGAUCUUCGGGAUGCUAGUGACCAUACCAUGUUAGAGACAUGAGGAUUGGAUAUUUGAGACUUGGACUAUGCUUGCUUGCCAUUUGUGCUCAUUCGCACAUGCUUGUGAGGGUCGCUCCCUACAAGCCGGCACUCCGGAGUUAGCCUACGCGACUUAUGUUCGCUCGUGCGGUAUUGAGAAGCCUACGGGGUCGAGUGGGACAGACACAUUCCAAGAGUAGGGAUGUUGGGCUACCACAGGCACUUAGGCGGCACAAGCUGGACUACCUUUGGUAGGUCCUUAAUUGGAAAUGGAAA
rnacentral:lncRNA from 1 species